GACGAACGCUGGCGGCGUGCUUAACACAUGCAAGUCGAACGGAAAGGCCCCAGCUUGCUGGGGUACUCGAGUGGCGAACGGGUGAGUAACACGUGGGUGAUCUGCCCUGCACUCUGGGAUAAGCCUGGGAAACUGGGUCUAAUACCGGAUAGGACCGUGCUUUAGUGUGUGCGGUGGAAAGUUUUUCGGUGCAGGAUGAGCCCGCGGCCUAUCAGCUUGUUGGUGGGGUAAUGGCCUACCAAGGCGGCGACGGGUAGCCGGCCUGAGAGGGUGUACGGCCACAUUGGGACUGAGACACGGCCCAGACUCCUACGGGAGGCAGCAGUGGGGAAUAUUGCAUAAUGGGCGCAAGCCUGAUGCAGCGACGCCGCGUGGGGGAUGACGGCCUUCGGGUUGUAAACCCCUUUCGGCAGGGACGAAGCUUUUGUGACGGUACCUGCAUAAGAAGCACCGGCUAACUACGUG
rnacentral:rRNA from 1 species